GACGGAGGGUGCAAGCGUUGUUCGGAUUGACUGGGCGUAAAGAGCGUGUAGGCGGUCAGGUAGGUCCGUUGUGAAAACUCGAGGCUCAACCUCGAGACGCCGAUGGAAACCAUCUGACCAGAGUCCGGAAGAGGAGAGUGGAAUUCCUGGUGUGGCGGUGAAAUGCGCAGAUAUCAGGAAGAACACCCGUGGCUAAGGCGGCUCUCUAGUACGGUACUGACGCUGAGACGCGAAAGCGUGGGGAGCGAACAGG
rnacentral:rRNA from 1 species